rnacentral:rRNA from 1 species
GACGAACCGAGCGAACGUUGGUCGGCCUCACUGGGCUUAAAGGGCGCGUAGGCGGGCGAUCAAGUCCGGGGUGAAAUCCUCCAGCUCAACUGGAGAACUGCCUUGGAUACUGGUCGUCUCGAGUGAGGUAGGGGCAUGCGGAACUGGUGGUGGAGCGGUGAAAUGCGUUGAUAUCAUCAGGAACUCCGGUGGCGAAGGCGGCAUGCUGGACCUCAACUGACGCUGAGGCGCGAAAGCUAGGGGAGCAAACGGG